GUCAGCACCACCGCCAUGAUGAGAUUCACCGCCCUGCUGGUUCUACUGUGCCUGUGCUCGAUGGCGAUGGCCUCUAUUUCUGACUUUCCAGCUGAUCCGCAGGAGGAAUCGCCUUCAACCAUAAAAGCUGCGAGAGCUGGUGAGGUGAGGGGAAACAUGAGAGCAGAAGGAGGAGGAUAUGGAGGAACAUUUGCAGGAAGAUCAGGAGGAGG